rnacentral:pre_miRNA from 1 species
UCUUAUGGAUGAGCAAAGAAAAUGGUUCUUGAGAUGGAAUCUACCUCUGGUGAAGAUACUAUGAA